CACACCGCGACACACACACACACACGCGCGCAUACACACAGCCCGACACACACGCACGCGCGCUUCUUAAAGGAGACGGCUCAUAAAGGAUUCCCCACUACGCCAGCAGAGGGGAAGAGGAGCCCACGGGAAAGAAAAGCAGGCGAGGUUAAGAAUAAAGAGUGUUCCAGGUAUGACAGCUACCUCGGUGAGGUGGAAGAGAGAAUUGAC
rnacentral:lncRNA from 1 species